UAAUUAUGAAAUAAAACUUUUGAUGGAUUCUUGCACAUUUAUGCAAGUAAGAUUAUUUAGAAGAAACCUCAUUGUUAAAUUAACCAACACCAUGCAUUUUUGUGGGCUUUGAAGUUCUGUGGGAAGAAUGCUUACUUGAUGCAUUUAAAAACCUUCAUUACACUGCCUGGUUACUUGGAUGGGCAGAUGUGUCUGAAGUGAACUGGCAGUGUGGGGAGAUGUCAGACCUAUGAAA
rnacentral:lncRNA from 1 species